UUAAUGGCCCUUGAAUUGUAUGACUCUUACGUUUUGUUUUUUUCGUCCAAGUCACGUGACUUUCAAGCUACCGGCCUUGAGAACAAAAAAUAUGGCGGACAUUCUCUCAUUUUUAGUGGAAAAAUCUAUAUUUUGAGUUAGUUUCUGAAUAAAAAGAAGUUUUGAUUACAUUUCUAGCGAGAAAUAUAUAUUUUAUUUUCAUAAUAUUCACUCAGUGAAUUUACAUAAUCAUCGCUUGCUCGAUUUUACGCAGAUUUUUCAGAUCUCGCCAGAAUAAUGUGAAACUGAUACGUUUUGGUUGCUAUGGACACUGCCAGGGCUCGUCACAUGACGUCUUUACAGACUUUAUUAAAACCGCGUUCAGCUACAGGUAAAACAACAUUCAGAGGUGAUUUUAACAACGCUCCACGGCGCGUGAGAGUAAGCAUUUUAAGCGUUUUCUGAUCAUGUAGGUGUGCCACUGUGGGUGGCUCCGCCCCUGCCGUGACCCAAAUUCUCGUUCGCACAUCAUCGCGAUGUUUAUCAUCAAUUUACAAACCUCGCCAGUCGCCUCAUCUUUGUUUUGACCAGUUAUGUCAGGAAGCUGCAACUAUUUCAAAGCAUCUUGAAAUGAAAGCUGACAAUGCUGAACUUGAAGCAGCUACCAGGGAGGCUGAAGAAAUUCUACAAAUGUUUAAUCCUCCACUGCUGAAAAAGAAGACCAAACGAGCGAUUUCCUGGACUCAACAGACACAGUGAACUUUGCACUGCAUUUCAAAGCCAGCUUCUCAGCCGCAACACCGAGAACCAGAGUUGAAGUCAAUGUACUGCUGAGAAAGUGCAAGAUCUAUUUAACCAAAAAUAUAGUAAGCAUAUGUCCAAACACUUUUUAAGUCUUGAUAACCUAAUAUACCUUCAUGUUUUCAUGGCAUUAUUAUCAAAUCAAUAACUUAUUUGUGUCCAUCAACCAUAAGAUUAUGACACAUUACCGACUGUUUACAGCCUGUACACUGGAUAUUAACAGGAUGGGAGA